ACAUUGGUGGUUCAGUGGUAGAAUUCUAGCCUUCCAUGAGGGCGACCUGGGUUCGAGUCUCAGCCAAUACA
rnacentral:tRNA from 1 species